AAUGGGGGAAACCCUGAUCCAGCCAUGCCGCGUGAGCGAUGAAGGCCUUAGGGUCGUAAAGCUCUUUCGCCUGGGAUGAUAAUGACAGUACCAGGUAAAGAAACCCCGGCUAACUCCGUGCCAGCAGCCGCGGUAAUACGGAGGGGGUUAGCGUUGUUCGGAAUUACUGGGCGUAAAGCGCACGUAGGCGGACUGUUAAGUUAGAGGUGAAAUCCCGGGGCUCAACCCCGGAACUGCCUUUAAUACUGGCAGUCUAGAGUUCGAGAGAGGUGAGUGGAAUUCCGAGUGUAGAGGUGAAAUUCGUAGAUAUUCGGAGGAACACCAGUGGCGAAGGCGGCUCACUGGCUCGAUACUGACGCUGAGGUGCGAAAGUGUGGGGAGCGAACAGGAUU
rnacentral:rRNA from 1 species